ACACGCAUGACACACUGCAUAUCAAUAAGCGGAGGAAAAGAAACUAACAAGGAUUCCCUUAGUAACGGCGAGUGAAGCGGGAAGAGCUCAAAUUUGAAAUCUUCAAGGUUCUACCUUGACGAAUUGUAGUUUAUAGAAGUGUUUUCUGUUAGUAGAGUGGCAGAAGUUCUUUGGAAUAGGACAUCAUAGAGGGUGAGAAUCCCGUAUUUGGUCAUUCUUUCUAGCUUUGUGAUACACUUUCAACGAGUCGGAUUGUUUGGGAAUGCAGUCCAAAAUGGGUGGUAAAUUUCAUCUAAAGCUAAAUAUUGGCGAGAGACCGAUAGCGAACAAGUACCGUGAGGGAAAGAUGAAAAGAACUUUGAAAAGAGAGUUAAACAGUACGUGAAAUUGUCAAAAGGGAAGCGUUUGACACCAGUGUUGUUUUUCCGAAAAUCAAUUACGAAUGUUUUGUUUUUGAGGAGUUAUGACUUCAUCGGCUUGCUUCUCUCUUUACGAAACUUUCUUAAUGCACUUUUCGGUUAACAAGUCAACAUCAAUUUCUUUUGUUGUAAAAGGGUAUGAGGAAGGUAGGCUUUCUUUUCGGAGAAAGUGUUUAUAGCCUUGUACCUCUGCAAUCGGAGAGAUUGAGGUCUGCAGCGUAGAUCCUUCGGGGUUAGAUACAUUUGUGCUAAGUUAUAGCUUUUCAUAGACAACUUGUUGACUAUGUUAAGUCUUGUAGCUUACUCGCUUAUGCUAUUUUACCUACGCUUAGGAUGUUGAUCUACAGAGCGAGAGU
rnacentral:rRNA from 1 species